AUGGUUGCUGUGCAACAAUGGGGAAGGAAGAUGCGACGGCGCGACGGUGGCUUCCAAGUUCGCAAUUGCGUCGGCGGCGGUAGCAGGCGGUGGCUAGGCGAAAGUGACGAAGGAGCAGGAGCUCGAUGAGAGGAGCUCGGACUGGUUGAGUGUGUGAGAGGCAGGAGCGCGUUUUGGUUAGGGGACAGGGGCUUAGGGUUGGGGCUAGUAAAGGUUACCUCCCAUGCCCUACAAAACGGUGCCGUCUAAACUUUAUUCAAAAAAUCGGCCGAGUUAUAGUUCGGUUCGACCGACCAAUUCUAGACCGAUUUGAUGGUUCAAGAACGGUUUUUAAAUUCUCUGAUUUUAGCAUCAGACCGAUUCGUUUUCACUUUGGUUUGCAGUUCGAUUGGUUUGACCGAUCAGUUUGAACCGAUUUUCAUAACCUUGGUUUAAAGAUAUAAAGAGAGAGGGGCGGUUUUAAUUAGAGAAUAUUUUUUGCGACUUUUUUAUUAGGAGAAUAUGCGAAUAGAGAAUUCCUCUCUCGACGUUCCUUAUACUCAAGGUAGUCAGAAUCGCGUGUAAACUCGUGGAAACGCACGAUUAUACGCUUUUACUCCAUCUUCCCGUUGCGCUUCUGCUUCUCGUCCAGAACCAGGCUACUCCGUGUGAAAUCGCCGUUGAAAAUCGCAGAGUCACCGAAAUCGUCGCUUCUGCCGCGUGGUUGCGUUUCAGGUUGAAGAAGUUCUUUUUCUUGGCCCUGAGUCCCUGAUUGCAGCCCAACCCAACCCACUGGCCAAAUCUAAAUAGAAGACCAUGGAAGAGGAGCCCUAGCAGAGUAACAGUUUCUAAUCUCUUAAUCUCCCUCACAUUUACAGUUUAUCUCCAAUUCUCUAUGGCCAAAAUUUCAAAUUUUCACCUCUCUCAAGUCUCAAUCUCUGACUCUAUUUCUCUUUUCCUCUGAAAUAUGAAUUUUGCGCGACCGAAAACCCCAAUUCGGAGCAUCGCCGACUCGCCGUGAGGUUUGUCGCUUGUGUUAUCGACUCGGACUGGUAGUGGUUGGACUGCGUGAGGCCGUGAACGUCGCAAAUUCUGGCUCUGCCUCUCUGUUUCUGGCUUUGGAAUCUGGAUCGCUGGCCGCUGCUCUUCCCCUCCCCUUUGCUGCUAGUUCAUCAGGAAUGGCAUCGACUCAAGCUAAUGCAAGUGAAAAUCCGACUAACAUUCAGAUAAAAUUUGUGCAGAAGAUGGUAAUGCAGAAGUUUGUGAAACUCGUGAAGAUUUUAUGACUGAUGAAGAAUAGAAUGAUUAUUAAAUAACUUAUUUAAAUUUUAGUUAAUUAGUUGUUCAUUCUUGUAGUUUGGUUGAUUUAUUUGCCACUUGAAUUUAUUUUAGUGUCGUAUGAACUUAUGAGUUGUGAAUUUGUGUUGUGAUUCGUGAAUUUGUGUUGAAUUGUGACUUUUGACUUGUCAUGGUAUAUAUAUAAUAGUUAUAAUUCUAUGGGUAA